AUUCAAACUAUUGAUACCAGCAGAAAAAAACAACUCAAGCCUCGCCCGGUCGCCCCUCCCUCCCUCCCUCUGCCCCGGGUUUCCAGGGAAACCCACCCCCAGAUCCAAAUCCAGCGAAGCGACAGAGAUCAAGGAUGGAGCUGGAGGUGGGUGCGCCUUCGCCGGCGAGGUACCUGGUGGGGGCAGCGAUCAUGAUGGCCGGCGUGGUGCUCCCGCUGGCGUACAUGAUCUUCCGCAGCAAGCGUUCGCCUUCCUCCGCCUCCGCCGCGGGGCCCUCCUCCUUCUCCAAGCAGACGAACAAAGGGCUCAUCUGAUCUGAGCGAGAGCUGACACAUACAUUGUUGCUAAGUGCAUUAGUUUGUUAUCUGAUAAUCCACACCUCCAGAUGUGCCCUGUAUGUUUGUGUUCUUAUAAGUUGGCUCCUAUUGAAUUGUCUGUGUUCCUGCACAUGAAGGUAGUAAACAAAUCAGUGUGCUGCCCCAGAAAAGUCAGAUGGAUCGAUUGUUUUUGUGGCUACAUGAAGGGCUUGCGGCUUGCCUUGUGGCUUGUGAUCAAGAUGGUAAUUCUCAUGGAGGCUACUGGGUAUUCAGGGCCUACCCUUCCUCAGGUAGGUAUAAAUCCAAAACAGUGGUUGCAAGUAAUAUCAUCAUAACAACUAGUUAAUUACUGUAUGGCACUAGUAUUGGCUGUGGGAUACAAAUAUUUUGGAUGGCACUUUAUCAUAUUUGUCCCUUGAUUGCACAAGAAUCUUCUAUGGCCAUAUGUGUGUCAUAACUCAUAAACCUGUGAGAAAAGCAGCACCUUUUUAAGAUUUUUGACUACGGAAUAGUGAUAGCUUUAGUUGUCUCUUUACACAAUGUGUGAAAUUAAGGUGCCUGCAUCAAAGAAACUUUCUUCAUGACAGGCAACCUUGGUGCUUCGUUCAACUUGUGGCACCCUUUG
rnacentral:misc_RNA from 1 species